rnacentral:pre_miRNA from 1 species
CCGUAAAAACCCAUAGAAAGAAACCCGUACAGCUGUACGGGUUUCUUUCUAUGGGUUUUUACGGG